GUAUAGCCUGGACUGUAAUCUCAUCAGAUCUUACAAGUUGAACAGGACCAAGCUUGGUCAGUACUUGAAUGGAGACCUCCAAGGAAAAAACAAAAUACU
rnacentral:rRNA from 1 species